UACAGAGGUCUCGAGCGUUGUUCGGAAUUACUGGGCGUAAAGGGCUUGUAGGCGGUGACGUAAGUCAGAUGUGAAAGCCCCGGGCUUAACCUGGGAAGUGCAUUUGAUACUGCGUUGCUUGAGUGCGAGAGAGGAAAGGGGAAUUCCCAGUGUAGGAGUGAAAUCCGUAGAUAUUGGGAGGAAUACCGAUGGCGAAGGCGCCUUUCUGGCUCGCAACUGACACUGAGAUGCGAAAGCGUGGGUAGCAAACAGG
rnacentral:rRNA from 1 species